GUUUAUUUUGGUAUAGAGUCUAAGUUUUGCGUCUAAAUGUUUUUAUUCUAACAAGACCUAUUAAAAGAUGAUUUAUUUUUUUCUUCCCCCAUGAGACUCUGAAAUCUGUCUUGCAGUAUGAGUGGCUGAUUGCUUCUCCAUGCAUGUUGGAAAUACUGAAGUUUAUCCACCUGUACACUCAAGUCCCUGGAACCUGACAGGGGGUCCUCAUCCCACAUCACACUUCAGAUUCCUCUCCAAAUCAUGUGUCCAUAUUAAACUCAGGUAUAUUGGAUUUCUAAAAUCAUGCUCUCACUCCUGGACUGUGGAAGGGAAAAACUUAUCAUCGAUCUGGAUCAUGCCCAUUCUGUGUGAGUAAACUUGGAUGCACUUGAUCAGGGGUGGGGCGGGGGGAUAAUUUUCAAAAGAAACAAAAGGGGAAGGGAUGCUGGGCAAAAUGAAACAUUUGAUGACAUUUUAGAGGCAAAAUAAUUUUGUAAAAUACUCGUUCUGUUUAUCUCAUUUGCCUGGGGAAUUCUUUGACUCUCUGGUCACUUUGUAAGUAGUGGCCUCAGCAAGAAAAGUGCAUUUUUUUUCUAUGGCUUAUUCUAAAGCCCUGCCAAUACUUUUGAAAAUAAUGAUCAGUGGGACAUUUUAAAAGGAAAUUUCUCUAAGUGAUGCUUCUCUCCAUCCCUUAUAUUGACCUUCACCAAGCUUACUUAGGUUAAUCUAUGUAUCAUACAUAUAUAUGUGUAUACGUAAGUAUAUGUAUUUUGUAUGUGUAUAUAGAUAGGUUAAUCUAUAUGGUGAUUCAUUUCUUUAAUGCUGUCAUAUUAUCAAUUUUGUCAGUUAUUAAGAUUUGUACCAGAACCUAAUACUAAUUGCUCUUGCAAGAGGGACAAGAAUAUGCUCUCCCUUUUUAAGAUUUUAUUUAUUUAUUUAUUUGAGAGAGAGAGAGAGAGAGAUAGACAGCACAAGAGGAAGAGGCUGACUCCCCCUGAGCAGGGAAUCUGACACAGGGCUCAAUCCCAGGACCCUGUGAUCAUGACCUGAGCCAAAGGCAGAUGCUUAACUGACUGAACCACUCAGGAACCCCCCAAAAACAAUCUCUUCAACAAAUGGUGUUGGGAUAACUGGACAGCUACAUGCAAAAGAGUGAAGCUGGACCACUUUCUUAUACCAUGCACAAAAAGAAACUCAAACUAGAUUAAAAACCUAAAUGCAAGACCUGAAACCAUAAAAAUCCCAGAAAAGAGCACAGGUAGUAAUUUCUCUGAUAUUGGCCAUAGCAACAUUUUUCUAGAUGUCUUCUGAAGCAAGGGAAAUAAAAGCAAAAAUAAACCAUUGGGACUAUAGCA
rnacentral:lncRNA from 12 species